UACGUAGGUGGCAAGCGUUGUCCGGAAUUAUUGGGCGUAAAGCGCGCGCAGGCGGUCCUUUAAGUCUGAUGUGAAAGCCCACGGCUCAACCGUGGAGGGUCAUUGGAAACUGGGGGGACUUGAGUGCAGAAGAGGAAAGCGGAAUUCCACGUGUAGCGGUGAAAUGCGUAGAGAUGUGGAGGAACACCAGUGGCGAAGGCGGCUUUCUGGUCUGUAACUGACGCUGAGGCGCGAAAGCGUGGGGAGCGAACAGG
rnacentral:rRNA from 1 species